CCCCAGGUCAGNCGGGAUYACCCGCUGAGUUUAAGCAUAUCAAUAAGC
rnacentral:rRNA from 1 species